rnacentral:lncRNA from 13 species
AUGACUUUACAUGCUUGGCUGGUGUAUGGGCUUGGAUUUACUAUGAUAUCUUAUUUUUUCAUCACGCAGGUCCAUGGACUGCAGUGCUAUGGCUGUAACAUCGUCCAGGGCCAGAGGUACAUGGACAUUGGCUGCUCCAACCCAGAGGUCAUCACCUGCACCCACUCACACAAGGGCUUCAAACAUCGCUUCUGCAUCAAGACAGAGAGCACAGCCCUGGGAAUUGUCCUGACCAGUGGAUGUGCCACAUCAAGACACUGCCAGCAACAAGAGCUGCCUGGAGUGCGCAUCCACUGCUGCACCUCAGACCUGUGUAACAGCACCCCCAACUGUCAAGCGAACACAUUGCAUUACAUCUACACACUGGCAAGCCUGCUGCUGCUGAGGUUGUGGUUGUGA